GGGGCCGUACUGGUUUCGACGGGGGUUUUGCAGCUGGAGAAGCUAUCCGAAGGCGACCGCGACAAGGCGCAAACUUAAAUACAAACGCAGAAGAUAAUUUUGCAAUCGCUGCCUAAGGGCAGCUGUCUGACCUGACGCACCUGCACGUCAGAAUCAGGCAUCGACUUUGCAGGAAACGACGUAUACUAAGCUUUGCGUAUACGGGCGUAUUAUGAAGCUACUGAUGCGUUGAGGGCGUUAGUCCCCGCAUCGCGGAGGGAAAGUUAAAAGGCUGACUAUGAUAGUAGAAGGACAGGGAAUAGACUUUCGGACAGGGGUUCGACUCCCCUCGGCUCCACUU
rnacentral:tmRNA from 1 species